CCUGCCCCGGGGCUACUUCCCCCCCUUACUAACCGUGGGGUCUGCGACCUUCCCCUGCGCUGUGCGGACCCAACGCCCAGCCACGCCCCGAGGGGGGCUAGUUCCCCGCUGCGGCCCCUGCCGUAGGCACCCUUGCUUGGGGGAGGGGGGGGCUGCUUGUAGAGGCUCCGGCAAGCCGGCUGUGACUGAACAUCAUAUGUUAGACAACAGAUGUGUACACGGACUAAGGCCCCAUCCUGCAAAGGCUACACAGGUGCUUAAUUUACUGCACUCUGACUAGCCCUACUGUAGUCAAAUUAAGUUCUCACAGGAUCAGAGCCUGAAGAUGGAAAGAUAUUUACAUACUGAAUAGGCCUCUUUUAAACUUAAAAAGACAGUGGUGGGUAAGAGCCUACUUUGUGGUACUUCAAAAGAGGAAGUAAAUUGUUCAUGGUGCCGCCCUGCUAACUUCAUCCUUGGGCUUUUCAUCAAUGAAAACAUGAAGGAUGCAAUAAUAGCCUUUGCAAUUUACCACAUAAUAUGAAAUUUGAUUUUUAAAAAUCAGUUUCCCAUUCAAAUGCCUAUAAUAAAUAGAAAAUACUUAAUAAAACUACUUGCUUUAUCACUUCAAUAACUAAACAGUGCAUAGCUUUUGUCUGUAAUUGCAACCAUGCGCAUGCACGUUUGAAUGCUGGACUUUAUGCGGUAUGCCCAGAUGUCUUCCCUAUUUUAGUUUGCUGACAGCAAAGUAGAAUUGUACAAAAGUCCUGUUCCCUGUCAUCAAACACACUGAGUUAUGUUCAUGCUUCCUAUUGUAAUCAACAUACAUGUCAAAUAUUUCACCUAUCAGCCUUGAUAGCCUUUUCAUAGUAUUGUAAGUAAGUGAGAAAAAGUGUUUCAUAGUUAGCUUUGAAAAAUGGGAGGACAAAGAUGAUAGUACAGACAUAAGUAGAAUUUUUUUGUUGUUGUUGAUAGAGGCUGACACACCAAGCCAAAUCUGUUACUUCCUUAAUGGACACAAAUAAACUGAUGAAGUUGUUUGCUAAAUACAAAUGCAAAAUGCUGUUGUCCUUAUUUGUUUUGUUGCUGAAUGUACUGGAACUAAGAAGAAGUAUAUCUAAGAAAUUGUUUGAUUUCAGCAGAAUUGUAUUUUUACAGCUUAGUAUCUUUGGUACAGGGGAUUCUUUAUGAUCCCCAAAGCAGACUAAAUACAGCCCUAAACUGAAUUAAUUGCUGUUUCAACUAUUUUUUUCAGUUCUUCUGAUUUGCAAUAUAAAAAUUGUAGCAACCUGCAUGGCGCUUGGAAGGAGGAGCACAAGUUGCAGAACAAAAAAGUUUGGAGGAGGAGUUGCAAUAUGGAGAGACAAGAGAAACUCCAAUUUGGGGUUUACGGUUCUGAUAACAGAGACUUCAGGCUCAGUUUUAAAGGUUCCCCUAGACUGUUGCUCCUGCAAGCGUUGGGGUAGCUCAGUGGAUAACUCCUCGGAGUCAAGGAGAAAGGGAGCUGUGCCUCCCUGGGAAUCAGAGAGAAACUACUACAGCCGAUCCUGACUAUGUCCACCCUUCUGAAAUGCGUGAGAGUCUGUGGCCUGCCUCAGUAAAUUCUCAGUGUGUCUAUAACAUUUUAUCACCAUUUAAAACAAAAGCACCAAGAACAAUCCUCCAAGUUUAGCAGUGACAACAUAACCUCUCAGAUGGAGGGAACAUCGCUCACUUCCUGAAACUCUGUAGUCUCUCAUGUACUUCCAGAAAUUGGAUACAGCCAGGAGCAGCUAAAGCUUGCCUGCUUUACACCAGCAGCUCUGCCAAUGCGCUCCCCCUUCCUCUGUGCCCCAAAUCUCUCAAUAUAAAGUACAUUUCUCAACAUGCCAAUGUGGGGCACCUGAAAGUGUGAUGGCCAGCACCAGGGAUUGAAACUACGAUUUCCAAAGCUAAAAGUCGUUUUAGCUUGUGCUAAAGAGUCUGGGUCUCAAGCAGAGAGCUAGCACAGACUUAUAUUAUCCUCUGUGUAUUGGGCACACACACUGAACAGUGGCUUAAACAAGCAAAAUG